rnacentral:rRNA from 1 species
UUAAGCGACUAAGCGUACACGGUGGAUGCCCUGGCAGUCAGAGGCGAUGAAGGACGUGCUAAUCUGCGAUAAGCGUCGGUAAGGUGAUAUGAACCGUUAUAACCGGCGAUUUCCGAAUGGGGAAACCCAGUGUGAUUCGUCACACUAUCAUUAACUGAAUCCAUAGGUUAAUGAGGCGAACCGGGGGAACUGAAACAUCUAAGUACCCCGAGGAAAAGAAAUCAACCGAGAUUCCCCCAGUAGCGGCGAGCGAACGGGGAGCAGCCCAGAGCCUGAAUCAGUGUGUGUGUUAGUGGAAGCGUCUGGAAAGGCGCGCGAUACAGGGUGACAGCCCCGUACACAAAAAUGCACAUACUGUGAGCUCGAUGAGUAGGGCGGGACACGUGGUAUCCUGUCUGAAUAUGGGGGGACCAUCCUCCAAGGCUAAAUACUCCUGACUGACCGAUAGUGAACCAGUACCGUGAGGGAAAGGCGAAAAGAACCCCGGCGAGGGGAGUGAAAAAGAACCUGAAACCGUGUACGUACAAGCAGUGGGAGCCUCUUUAUGGGGUGACUGCGUACCUUUUGUAUAAUGGGUCAGCGACUUAUAUUCUGUAGCAAGGUUAACCGAAUAGGGGAGCCGAAGGGAAACCGAGUCUUAACUGGGCGUUAAGUUGCAGGGUAUAGACCCGAAACCCGGUGAUCUAGCCAUGGGCAGGUUGAAGGUUGGGUAACACUAACUGGAGGACCGAACCGACUAAUGUUGAAAAAUUAGCGGAUGACUUGUGGCUGGGGGUGAAAGGCCAAUCAAACCGGGAGAUAGCUGGUUCUCCCCGAAAGCUAUUUAGGUAGCGCCUCGUGAAUUCAUCUCCGGGGGUAGAGCACUGUUUCGGCAAGGGGGUCAUCCCGACUUACCAACCCGAUGCAAACUGCGAAUACCGGAGAAUGUUAUCACGGGAGACACACGGCGGGUGCUAACGUCCGUCGUGAAGAGGGAAACAACCCAGACCGCCAGCUAAGGUCCCAAAGUCAUGGUUAAGUGGGAAACGAUGUGGGAAGGCCCAGACAGCCAGGAUGUUGGCUUAGAAGCAGCCAUCAUUUAAAGAAAGCGUAAUAGCUCACUGGUCGAGUCGGCCUGCGCGGAAGAUGUAACGGGGCUAAACCAUGCACCGAAGCUGCGGCAGCGACACUAUGUGUUGUUGGGUAGGGGAGCGUUCUGUAAGCCUGUGAAGGUGUGCUGUGAGGCAUGCUGGAGGUAUCAGAAGUGCGAAUGCUGACAUAAGUAACGAUAAAGCGGGUGAAAAGCCCGCUCGCCGGAAGACCAAGGGUUCCUGUCCAACGUUAAUCGGGGCAGGGUGAGUCGACCCCUAAGGCGAGGCCGAAAGGCGUAGUCGAUGGGAAACAGGUUAAUAUUCCUGUACUUGGUGUUACUGCGAAGGGGGGACGGAGAAGGCUAUGUUGGCCGGGCGACGGUUGUCCCGGUUUAAGCGUGUAGGCUGGUUUUCCAGGCAAAUCCGGAAAACUAAGGCUGAGGCGUGAUGACGAGGCACUACGGUGCUGAAGCAACAAAUGCCCUGCUUCCAGGAAAAGCCUCUAAGCAUCAGGUAACAUCAAAUCGUACCCCAAACCGACACAGGUGGUCAGGUAGAGAAUACCAAGGCGCUUGAGAGAACUCGGGUGAAGGAACUAGGCAAAAUGGUGCCGUAACUUCGGGAGAAGGCACGCUGAUAUGUAGGUGAAGCGACUUGCUCGUGGAGCUGAAAUCAGUCGAAGAUACCAGCUGGCUGCAACUGUUUAUUAAAAACACAGCACUGUGCAAACACGAAAGUGGACGUAUACGGUGUGACGCCUGCCCGGUGCCGGAAGGUUAAUUGAUGGGGUUAGCGGUAACGCGAAGCUCUUGAUCGAAGCCCCGGUAAACGGCGGCCGUAACUAUAACGGUCCUAAGGUAGCGAAAUUCCUUGUCGGGUAAGUUCCGACCUGCACGAAUGGCGUAAUGAUGGCCAGGCUGUCUCCACCCGAGACUCAGUGAAAUUGAACUCGCUGUGAAGAUGCAGUGUACCCGCGGCAAGACGGAAAGACCCCGUGAACCUUUACUAUAGCUUGACACUGAACAUUGAGCCUUGAUGUGUAGGAUAGGUGGGAGGCUUUGAAGUGUGGACGCCAGUCUGCAUGGAGCCGACCUUGAAAUACCACCCUUUAAUGUUUGAUGUUCUAACGUUGACCCGUGAUCCGGGUUGCGGACAGUGUCUGGUGGGUAGUUUGACUGGGGCGGUCUCCUCCUAAAGAGUAACGGAGGAGCACGAAGGUUGGCUAAUCCUGGUCGGACAUCAGGAGGUUAGUGCAAUGGCAUAAGCCAGCUUGACUGCGAGCGUGACGGCGCGAGCAGGUGCGAAAGCAGGUCAUAGUGAUCCGGUGGUUCUGAAUGGAAGGGCCAUCGCUCAACGGAUAAAAGGUACUCCGGGGAUAACAGGCUGAUACCGCCCAAGAGUUCAUAUCGACGGCGGUGUUUGGCACCUCGAUGUCGGCUCAUCACAUCCUGGGGCUGAAGUAGGUCCCAAGGGUAUGGCUGUUCGCCAUUUAAAGUGGUACGCGAGCUGGGUUUAGAACGUCGUGAGACAGUUCGGUCCCUAUCUGCCGUGGGCGCUGGAGAACUGAGGGGGGCUGCUCCUAGUACGAGAGGACCGGAGUGGACGCAUCACUGGUGUUCGGGUUGUCAUGCCAAUGGCACUGCCCGGUAGCUAAAUGCGGAAGAGAUAAGUGCUGAAAGCAUCUAAGCACGAAACUUGCCCCGAGAUGAGUUCUCCCUGACUCCCUGAGAGUCCUGAAGGAACGUUGAAGACGACGACGUUGAUAGGCCGGGUGUGUAAGCGCAGCGAUGCGUUGAGCUAACCGGUACUAAUGAACCGUGAGGCUUAACCU